GCUUGGCUAGCUCAGUCGGUAGAGCAUGAGACUCUUGCUCUCAGGGUCGUGGGUUCGAGCUUCACGUUAGGUA